rnacentral:rRNA from 1 species
ACGGAGGAGGCAAGCGUUAUCCGGAAUUACUGGGCGUAAAGCGUGCGUAGACGGCUAUCUAAGUCGGGUGUGAAAGCCCCGGGCUCAACCUGGGAAUUGCAUUCGAGACUGAAUAGCUAGGGUACGGUAGAGGGAAGUGGAAUUUCCGGUGUAGCGGUGAAAUGCGUAGAUAUCGGAAGGAACAUCAGUGGCGAAGGCGACUACCUGGACUGAUACUGACACUGAGGUGCGAAAGCGUGGGGAGCAAACAGGA